GUACUGCGAAACUGCGAAUGGCUCAUUAAAUCAGUUAUCGUCUAUUUGAUAGUACCUUACUACUUGGAUAACCGUGGUAAUUCUAGAGCUAAUACAUGCUGAAAACCCCGACUUCGGAAGGGAUGUAUUUAUUAGAUUAAAAACCAAUGCCCUUCUGGGCUCCCUGGUGAUUCAUGAUAACUUCUCGAAUCGCACGGCCUUGCGCCGGCGAUGGUUCAUUCAAAUUUCUGCCCUAUCAACUUUCGACGGCUGGGUCUUGGCCAGCCAUGGUGACAACGGGUAACGGAGGGUUAGGGCUCGACCCCGGAGAAGGAGCCUGAGAAACGGCUACUACAUCCAAGGAAGGCAGCAGGCGCGCAAAUUACCCAAUCCCGACACGGGGAGGUAGUGACAAUAAAUACUGAUACAGGGCUCUUUUGGGUCUUGUAAUUGGAAUGAGUACAAUUUAAUUCCCUUAACGAGGAACAAUUGGAGGGCAAGUCUGGUGCCAGCAGCCGCGGUAAUUCCAGCUCCAAUAGCGUAUAUUAAAGUUGUUGCAGUUAAAAAGCUCGUAGUUGAACCUUGGGCCUGGCUGGCCGGUCCGCCUCACCGCGUGCACUGGUCCGGCCGGGCCUUUCCCUCUGGGGAGCCGCAUGCCCUUCACUGGGCGUGCCGGGGAACCAGGACGUUUACUUUGAAAAAAUUAGAGUGUUCAAAGCAGGCUUAUGCUCGGAUACAUUAGCAUGGAAUAAUAGAAUAGGACGUGCGGUUCUAUUUUGUUGGUUUCUAGGACCGCCGUAAUGAUUAAUAGGGACAGUCGGGGGCAUCAGUAUUCAGUUGUCAGAGGUGAAAUUCUUGGAUUUACUGAAGACUAACUACUGCGAAAGCAUUUGCCAAGGAUGUUUUCAUUAAUCAGGAACGAAAGUUAGGGGAUCGAAGACGAUCAGAUACCGUCGUAGUCUUAACCAUAAACUAUGCCGACUAGGGAUCGGACGGUGUUAUUUUUUGACCCGUUCGGCACCUUACACGAAAGUACAAGUUUCUGGG
rnacentral:rRNA from 1 species